UAUUGAGUUGGCCAAAAUGUUUAUUCAGAUUUUUCCAUAGCACCUUAUAGAAAAACGCAAAUGAACUUUUUGGCCAAUCCAAU
ensembl:miRNA